GCAUGCUCUGAAGAACACUGAAGAUUACCAGCCAAAAGAUCUUCUUUUAUAUGCAAGAAAAACAUAUGCCUCGUCUGCUCUUGUAAGAUAAGAUGAGGCUCUACAAAGAACUUGACUCUUAAUUUAAACCGAUAAGGAGCUAAACCAUCCAUCUGCUGGGAAAUCCUGUUCCUCAGAUUCAGCCAUAGGUUCUCCCCUUUGCUGCCAGUGAACUGCAGCCCGAAGUAAUCAACUUCUAUGAUUCCCAACCUUCUGCAAACCUGGUUGAGGCAGUCCUCGCCGUUGGCUUUCGCCUCUACCUCCACCUCCAUCACCACCGCGUCCGGCCUGGUCACAUAGCACAGCAUGGCUGGGGUCGGCCAGCGCCGCCACCGCGGGCGCACCGAGCGGCUGCUGCUGCCGUCACCGGCGGGGAAGGGCGCUGUGGCUGCGGGCUGCGCCUCGCCGCCCACACCCGCACUCCGCUACAACGCACCCACUGUCCACGCUCUGCUGCCUC
rnacentral:lncRNA from 1 species